AUUCCAUCAAGACGAGGCGAGGGCGGCGGCCCGAUGACCCUCGGCCAGCUCCCGGCAUCCCGGGGAUGUGGCAAUGCCGCCUGCGAUGGAGG
rnacentral:ncRNA from 2 species